UACGUAGGGUGCGAGCAUUGUCCGGAAUUAUUGGGCGUAAAGAGCUCGUAGGCGGCUUGUCGCGUCGGAUGUGAAAGCCCGGGGCUUAACCCCGGGUCUGCAUUCGAUACGGGCAGGCUAGAGUUCGGUAGGGGAGAUCGGAAUUCCUGGUGUAGCGGUGAAAUGCGCAGAUAUCAGGAGGAACACCGGUGGCGAAGGCGGAUCUCUGGGCCGAUACUGACGCUGAGGAGCGAAAGCGUGGGGAGCGAACAGGAUUAGAAACCCCCGUAGUCC
rnacentral:rRNA from 1 species